rnacentral:misc_RNA from 1 species
UAACUAUUAAGCGCUGCUUGGUAUUAGAUGUAACUUGCUUUUGAUGCAUCUUAAAAGCAUUAGUACUAGCAUUUAGCUUUUAGUGUAGUAAAUUUUCUCGCUGUAAGGCUUAGAUGCUUGCCUGCCAGAACUAUUAUUUCAAAGGUUAACCUCGGAUUAGGUACUUAAGCAUAUCAAUAAGCGGAGGCU